rnacentral:rRNA from 1 species
GACGAACGCUGGCGGCGUGCCUAAUACAUGCAAGUAGAACGCUGAAGGAGGAGCUUGCUUCUCUGGAUGAGUUGCGAACGGGUGAGUAACGCGUAGGUAACCUGCCUGGUAGCGGGGGAUAACUAUUGGAAACGAUAGCUAAUACCGCAUAACAGUAGAUAUCGCAUGAUAUCUACUUGAAAGGUGCAAUUGCAUCACUACCAGAUGGACCUGCGUUGUAUUAGCUAGUUGGUGAGGUAACGGCUCACCAAGGCGACGAUACAUAGCCGACCUGAGAGGGUGAUCGGCCACACUGGGACUGAGACACGGCCCAGACUCCUACGGGAGGCAGCAGUAGGGAAUCUUCGGCAAUGGACGGAAGUCUGACCGAGCAACGCCGCGUGAGUGAAGAAGGUUUUCGGAUCGUAAAGCUCUGCUGUAAGAGAAGAACGAGUGUGAGAGUGGAAAGUUCACACUGUGACGGUAUCUUACCAGAAAGGGACGGCUAACUACGUG